GGUCCGAUGGUGUAGUUGGUUAUCACUUCUGUCUAACAGCUUAAACAGCUUGAUCACAGGCGGUCGUCAGUUCGAACCUGGCUCGGAUCA